CGAACUCACAAACUGAGAGAUCAUGACCUGAGCUGAAGUCGGAGGCUUAACCGACUGAGCCGGCCGGGAGCCCCCCGGCGGCCAUUUCUAAGGCAACUGAACAUUAGCAAUGUAUGGGUAAUUAAGGUGUUACACGAGGAGUGAUUACUAGUCUUUCCCACUGAGUGGUGGUUGCAACCUCAUUGAGCCCCACGGAAUCCAGUCUGAGCUCUUAUGGUCUCAGUAAUACCUCCCAAAGGCACGUGGGCAGGCCCUGUGGCCUGUGGCUCCUGUCAGAGGGACCGAACCCAGGGUGCAGGGCAGCCCACAAGGCCUCAAGAUCUCCACAGCCACUGCCAUUUCUUAACAUGAGAAUUCCAAACAUCGCUAACGGGCUCUGGGGCAACCACACUUCGGUCUGGUUCAGCUGCCUUUGUUUUUUUUUUUUUUUUUUUUUUUUCCUUUUAGGCAACGCCCCCCCCCCCCCCCCCCCAUAGCUUUCUCUAGGGUUCCUGCAACAGUAAGUGGUUUCUGAGGUUCAUUUCCGCGCUGGGAGGGAGAACCGUGCAGCUCGGUCCUCAGAGCCUGGGGCGGGGGGGGAGGAGGGGCUUGCCGACGGUAAAUAUUGACCUCAGCAAAUCACCACCGCCCGCCAAAGACUGCCACUAGGGUGCGCUAGCAAACAACACAAAAGGCCCCCUUUGGCGGAUUCCUUUCUCAACCGCUUGUCUGGAAUUCAGAGCUCCGUGUGUGCGCUCCCAUUGAGGGUUUUGAAAUGCUCCGAAGUUGUUAGGCUGUCCCAAAGGAAGUCGGCUAUUAAAAUAAGCCAGCAUUUAAUCCUGCAUGAUGACCAACGUUCCGAUUAUAUUUCUAGAAGUGAUGCUGACUCAGAGCAACUAUCAACUCUUGCUGAUGCACCUUUUUGAAAUGGUCGGGCCUCGUUCCCUGUUGCUAAGCUUGUGACAAAUUUCAUGCCUUAAAGGCAUGCAUCUUUGGACCACAAUCUACAGAAGUUCUGGAAACCCAAAUUUAGGAAGGCCUGGUCCGCUCGCAGUCAGCACUGUGAAUUAUAAGAGACACCCUGUCCGUGGAGACCUCAGAACAAAAGAAAUAAGGCUUUGUAAUCAACAGUAAACAAGGGAAUUAAACCAGCGCCAGGCCUGUGACUGUGGGGGUCAUGCCCUUGCGAGGCAAUAAAAAGGAAGAAAAAAAUAUAAAAACUGCUAUUUUUUACAAACUGGACUGCAGUCUUCAUCUGCCCUGCUGUAACAGCUAGAAGACCCCUAGUAGCCUGGAAUGAAUGUGGAGGCUCCCAGGCACCUUUUGAAAAGACUUCAGUAUCCCCUCCAGAAUGUCCUGCUUUCCGGAUUCCCAGAUCCCUGUCAUCCUGGCGAGCACCAUACUCUGUGAGGAAACCAAGGUGCUGCCAGGAUCAUGUGUCAAAUAAAGGAUGGGAGGCCCAUGA